rnacentral:rRNA from 1 species
CCGGUUGAUCCUGCCGAAGGCUACUGCUAUUGGAGUUCGAUUAAGCCAUGCGAGUCUAAGGGACUUCGGUCCCUGGCAUAAUGCUCAGUAACAAGUGGAUAAUCUGCCCUUAGGUGAGGAAUAAACCCGGGAAACUGGGGCUAAUACCUCAUAGACACAAGAAGCUGGAAUGCUCCUGUGUUCAAAGCUCCGGCGCCUAAGGAUGAGUCUGCUUCCUAUCAGGUUGUAGUCAGGGUCAAGACCUGACUAGCCAACGACGGGUACGGGGUGUGAGAGCACUUGCCCGGAGAUGGUUUCUGAGACACGAAACCAGGCCCUACGGGGCGCAGCAGGCGAGAAAACUUUGCAAUGUGCGAAAGCACGACAAGGUUAAUCCGAGUGAUUUCUGCUAAAGAAAUCUUUUGCCAGUCAUAAAACCACUAGUGAAUAAGGGGUGGGCAAGUUCUGGUGUCAGCCGCCGCGGUAAAACCAGCACCUCAAGUGGUCAGGAGGAUUAUUGGGCCUAAAGCAUCCGUAGCCUGCUCUGUAAGUUUUCGGUUAAAUCUAUAUGCUCAACGUAUAGGCUGCCGAAAAUACUGCAGUGCUAGGAAGUGGGAGAGGUAGACGGUACUUGGUAGGAAGGGGUAAAAUCCUUUGAUCUAUCGAUGACCACCUGUGGCGAAGGCGGUCUACCAGAACACGUUCGACGGUGAGGGAUGAAAGCUGGGGGAGCAAACCGGAUUAGAUACCCGGGUAGUCCCAGCUGUAAACGAUGCAGACUCGAUGAUGCAUUGGCAUAUAGCCGGUGCAGUGUCGCAGGGAAGCCGUUAAGUCUGCCGCCUGGGAAGUACGUACGCAAGUAUGAAACUUAAAGGAAUUGGCGGGGGAGCACCACAAGGGGUGAAGCCUGCGGUUCAAUUGGAUUCAACGCCGGA